rnacentral:rRNA from 1 species
CCUACGGGGGGCAGCAGUGGGGAAUUUUCCGCAAUGGGCGAAAGCCUGACGGAGCAAUACCGCGUGAGGGAUGAAGGCCUAUGGGUUGUAAACCUCUUUUUUCAGGGAGGAAUAAAAUGACGUGUACCUGAAGAAUAAGCAUCGGCUAACUCCGUGCCAGCAGCCGCGGUAAGACGGAGGAUGCAAGUGUUAUCCGGAAUCACUGGGCGUAAAGCGUCUGUAGGUGGUCAAAUAAGUCAACUGUUAAAUCUUGAAGCUCAACUUCAAAAUCGCAGUCGAAACUAUUAGACUAGAGUAUAGUAGGGGUAAAGGGAAUUUCCAGUGGAGCGGUGAAAUGCGUAGAUAUUGGAAAGAACACCGAUGGCGAAGGCACUUUACUGGGCUAUUACUAACACUCAGAGACGAAAGCUAGGGUAGCAAAUGGGAUUAGAUACCCCGGUAGUC